rnacentral:rRNA from 1 species
GAUGAACGCUGGCGGCGUGCUUAACACAUGCAAGUCGAACGAUGAAGCUGGAGCUUGCUCCGGUGGAUUAGUGGCGAACGGGUGAGUAACACGUGAGCAAUCUGCCCUUGACUCUGGGAUAACUGCGGGAAACUGUAGCUAAUACCGGAUACGACGCCUUGGGGCAUCCCACGGGCGUGGAAAGAAUUUCGGUCAAGGAUGAGCUCGCGGCCUAUCAGCUAGUUGGUGAGGUAAUGGCUCACCAAGGCGACGACGGGUAGCCGGCCUGAGAGGGUGACCGGCCACACUGGGACUGAGACACGGCCCAGACUCCUACGGGAGGCAGCAGUGGGGAAUAUUGCGCAAUGGGCGAAAGCCUGACGCAGCAACGCCGCGUGAGGGAUGAAGGCCUUCGGGUUGUAAACCUCUUUUAUCAGGGAAGAAGCGAAA